rnacentral:lncRNA from 1 species
AUAUGUAUAUGUGUGAGGGUCUGUGUGUACAUGUGAAGGUGUGUGUACAUGUGUGUGAAUGUACAUGUGGGUGUGUGCAUACAUGUGUGAGGGGUGUGUACCUGUAUGUGUACAUGUGGGGGGUGGGGGGUGCAUGUGGGAGUGCAUGUGUGCACAUGUGUGAGGGUGUGCACAUGUGUGAGGGUGUGUGUGUGUGUGAUGAGGAUCUGUACGUUUGAGGGUGCAUGUGUGUACAUGUGAGGGUGUGUGUACAUGUGUGAAGAUGUAUAUGUGUUCAAGGGUGUGUGUGCGCACGUGUACACGUGAGGGCAUGCAUGUGUGCGUGUGUGUGCAUGUACAUGUGAGGAUGUAUACAUGUUUGGGGGUGUGCGCACGUGUGAGGGUGUGCAUAUGUACGCGUGUAAGGGUGUGUAUACAUGUGUGAGUGUAUGUACAUGGUGUAUGUGUACGUGUGUGUACAUAUGUGAGGGUUGUGUACAUGUGUGAGGGUGUGCACAUGUAUGUGGGUGUGUGCAUGGGUGUGUACGUUUAUGGGUGCGUGUGUACAUGUGUGAAGGUGCGUGUGUGUACAUGUGAGGGUGUAUAUAUGUGUGGGUGUAUGUACGUGUGUUUACAUGUGUUAUGGUGUGUGUACGUGUGUGGGGGUUUGUGUACAUGUGAGGGUGUGUGUGUACAUGUGUGAGGAUGUGUACAUGUGUGAGGGUUGUGUGUACAUGUGUGAGGUGUGUACAUGUGAGUGUGUACAUGUGUGAGGGUGUACGUUUAAGGGUAUACAUGUGUGGGGGUGUACGUGUGUGAAGGCAUCUGUACGUGUGUGAGGGCACGUGUGUGUACGUGUGAGGGUGUGUGCACACGUGUGUACAUGUGUGAGGGUGUGUGUACAUGUGUGAAGCUGUGUGCACCUGUGUGGGGUGUGUACGUUUGAGGGUGCAGGUAUGCACGUGUGAGGGUGUGUGUACAUGUGUGAAGGUGUAUGUACAUGUGUGAAGGUAUGAGGAUGUGUGUACAUGUGGGUGUAUGUGUACAUGUGUGGGUACAUGCAUGGUGUGUACGUGUGGGGGUUUGUGUACAUGUAAGGGUAUGUACGUGUGAGGGUUGUGUGUACAUGUGGUGUGAGGGUUGUGUGUACAUGUGUGAGGUGUGAGGGUGUGUACAUGUGUGGGUGUGUGUACGUUUAAGGGCGUACUGUGUGAGGGCACGUGUGUACAUGUGUGAGCGUACGUGUGUGAGGGUGCGCACACGUGUGUACAUGUGAGGGUGUGUGUACAUGUGUGAGGGCGUGUGCCCAUGUGUGGGUGUGUGCACGUGGGUGUGUGAAUUUGUGUGAGGGUGUGUGUACAUGUGUGAGGGUGUGUGUACACGUGUGAGGGCGUGCAUGUGUACCUGUGUGACGGUGCAUUUGUGCGUGUUUGUGCACAUGUAUACGCUCACGUACCAUAUUGUGUUUGUUGAUAUGGGCCAUGGUCAGAAAAGUUGAAUGGCCGCUGGCUGAAAGGGCUGAGCUCAGUCUGUUUUCCCAGAGUUACGUCUGGCUGAACCCCGGUCAU